rnacentral:rRNA from 1 species
GGGUUGUGAGGUUAAGCGACUAAGCGUACACGGUGGAUGCCCUGGCAGUCAGAGGCGAUGAAGGACGUGCUAAUCUGCGAAAAGCGUCGGUAAGGUGAUAUGAACCGUUACAGCCGGCGAUGUCCGAAUGGGGAAACCCAGUGCAAUUCGUUGCACUAUCGUUAACUGAAUACAUAGGUUAACGAGGCGAACCGGGGGAACUGAAACAUCUAAGUACCCCGAGGAAAAGAAAUCAACCGAGAUUCCCCCAGUAGCGGCGAGCGAACGGGGAGCAGCCCAGAGUCUGAAUCAGCUUGUGUGUUAGUGGAACGGUCUGGAAAGUCCGACGGUACAGGGUGAUAGUCCCGUACACCAAAAUGCACAGGUUGUGAACUCGAAGAGUAGGGCGGGACACGUGGUAUCCUGUCUGAAUAUGGGGGGACCAUCCUCCAAGGCUAAAUACUCCUGACUGACCGAUAGUGAACCAGUACCGUGAGGGAAAGGCGAAAAGAACCCCGGCGAGGGGAGUGAAAAAGAACCUGAAACCGUGUACGUACAAGCAGUGGGAGCACCUUCGGGUGUGACUGCGUACCUUUUGUAUAAUGGGUCAGCGACUUAUAUUCUGUAGCAAGGUUAACCGUAUAGGGGAGCCGCAGGGAAACCGAGUCUUAACUGGGCGUUAAGUUGCAGGGUAUAGACCCGAAACCCGGUGAUCUAGCCAUGGGCAGGUUGAAGGUUGGGUAACACUAACUGGAGGACCGAACCGACUAAUGUUGAAAAAUUAGCGGAUGACUUGUGGCUGGGGGUGAAAGGCCAAUCAAACCGGGAGAUAGCUGGUUCUCCCCGAAAGCUAUUUAGGUAGCGCCUCGUGAACUCAUCUUCGGGGGUAGAGCACUGUUUCGGCUAGGGGGUCAUCCCGACUUACCAACCCGAUGCAAACUACGAAUACCGAAGAAUGUUAUCACGGGAGACACACGGCGGGUGCUAACGUCCGUCGUGAAGAGGGAAACAACCCAGACCGCCAGCUAAGGUCCCAAAGUCAUGGUUAAGUGGGAAACGAUGUGGGAAGGCACAGACAGCCAGGAUGUUGGCUUAGAAGCAGCCAUCAUUUAAAGAAAGCGUAAUAGCUCACUGGUCGAGUCGGCCUGCGCGGAAGAUGUAACGGGGCUAAACCAUGCACCGAAGCUGCGGCAGCGACACUAUGUGUUGUUGGGUAGGGGAGCGUUCUGUAAGCCUGCGAAGGUGUGCUGUGAGGCAUGCUGGAGGUAUCAGAAGUGCGAAUGCUGACAUAAGUAACGAUAAAGCGGGUGAAAAGCCCGCUCGCCGGAAGACCAAGGGUUCCUGUCCAACGUUAAUCGGGGCAGGGUGAGUCGACCCCUAAGGCGAGGCCGAAAGGCGUAGUCGAUGGGAAACAGGUUAAUAUUCCUGUACUUGGUGUUACUGCGAAGGGGGGACGGAGAAGGCUAUGUUAGCCGGGCGACGGUUGUCCCGGUUUAAGCAUGUAGGCUGGUUAUCCAGGCAAAUCCGGAUAAUCAAGGCUGAGGUGUGAUGACGAGGCACUACGGUGCUGAAGUAACAAAUGCCCUGCUUCCAGGAAAAGCCUCUAAGCAUCAGGUAACAUCAAAUCGUACCCCAAACCGACACAGGUGGUCAGGUAGAGAAUACCAAGGCGCUUGAGAGAACUCGGGUGAAGGAACUAGGCAAAAUGGUGCCGUAACUUCGGGAGAAGGCACGCUGGUGUGUAGGUGAAGUCCCUGCGGAUGGAGCUGAGACCAGUCGAAGAUACCAGCUGGCUGCAACUGUUUAUUAAAAACACAGCACUGUGCAAACACGAAAGUGGACGUAUACGGUGUGACGCCUGCCCGGUGCCGGAAGGUUAAUUGAUGGGGUUAUCCGUAAGGAGAAGCUCUUGAUCGAAGCCCCGGUAAACGGCGGCCGUAACUAUAACGGUCCUAAGGUAGCGAAAUUCCUUGUCGGGUAAGUUCCGACCUGCACGAAUGGCGUAAUGAUGGCCAGGCUGUCUCCACCCGAGACUCAGUGAAAUUGAACUCGCUGUGAAGAUGCAGUGUACCCGCGGCAAGACGGAAAGACCCCGUGAACCUUUACUAUAGCUUGACACUGAACAUUGAGCCUUGAUGUGUAGGAUAGGUGGGAGGCUUUGAAGCGUGGACGCCAGUCUGCGUGGAGCCAACCUUGAAAUACCACCCUUUAAUGUUUGAUGUUCUAACGUUGGCCCCUGACCGGGGUUGCGGACAGUGUCUGGUGGGUAGUUUGACUGGGGCGGUCUCCUCCCAAAGCGUAACGGAGGAGCACGAAGGUUAGCUAAUCCUGGUCGGACAUCAGGAGGUUAGUGCAAUGGCAUAAGCUAGCUUGACUGCGAGCGUGACGGCGCGAGCAGGUGCGAAAGCAGGUCAUAGUGAUCCGGUGGUUCUGAAUGGAAGGGCCAUCGCUCAACGGAUAAAAGGUACUCCGGGGAUAACAGGCUGAUACCGCCCAAGAGUUCAUAUCGACGGCGGUGUUUGGCACCUCGAUGUCGGCUCAUCACAUCCUGGGGCUGAAGUAGGUCCCAAGGGUAUGGCUGUUCGCCAUUUAAAGUGGUACGCGAGCUGGGUUUAGAACGUCGUGAGACAGUUCGGUCCCUAUCUGCCGUGGGCGCUGGAGAAUUGAGGGGGGCUGCUCCUAGUACGAGAGGACCGGAGUGGACGCAUCACUGGUGUUCGGGUUGUCAUGCCAAUGGCACUGCCCGGUAGCUAAAUGCGGAAGAGAUAAGUGCUGAAAGCAUCUAAGCACGAAACUUGCCCCGAGAUGAGUUCUCCCUGAGACUUUAAGUCUCCUGAAGGAACGUUAAAGACGAUGACGUUGAUAGGCCGGGUGUGUAAGCGCAGCGAUGCGUUGAGCUAACCGGUACUAAUGAACCGUGA